CAUGGCUCAGACUGAACGCUGGCGGCAUGGCUAAAAGCAUGCAAGUCGAACGAGCCCGCAAGGGCAAGUGGCGGACGGGUUAGUAAUGCGAUCGAACGUACCCAGAGGUGGGGGAUAGCGGUGGGAAACUGCCGGUAAUACCCCAUGUGCUCCUCGGAGGAAAGGUUUACCGCCUUUUGGAUCGGCGAUCGUCCUAUCAGGUAGUUGGCGGGGUAAAAGCCCACCAAGCCGAAGACGGGUAGCGGGUGUGAGAGCACGGCCCGCAACAUCGGAACUGAGAUACUGUCCGGACUCCUACGGGAGGCUGCAGCAACGAAUCUUCCGCAAUGGGCGCAAGCCUGACGGAGCAAUGCCGCGUGUGGGAUGAAGUGCCUCCGGCAUGUAAACCACUGUCAGAAAGCAGAAACACUGAUUGCUUUCAAAGGAAGUGGCGACUAACUCUGUGCCAGCAGUCGCGGUAAUACAGAGGCCACAAGCGUUAGUCGGAAUUACUG
rnacentral:rRNA from 1 species